AGCUCCAAUAGCGUAUAUUAAAGUUGCUGCAGUUAAAAAGCUCGUAGUUGGAUUUCUGGCGUUUCAUUUCAGGCCGGCCACGGUUUCGUGUGUUAGUGCUUGAGAUCUUCGCCAUCCUUCCAAUGGCUAUUCAUCCUUCUUCAUUGAAGGUGUGAGUGGUAUUGGAUCUUUUACUUUGAAAAAAUUAGAGUGUUUCAAGCAGGCUUUAUGCUAUGAAUACAUUAGCAUGGAAUAAUAAUUUAGGACUUCGUCUAUUU
rnacentral:rRNA from 1 species